GGUGAAUGUGAUGAAUAUUUUCAACUCGACUCCUCGACGUAGACGCAGUCAUGGUCAUCGUCAUUAUACAUCACCUUCUCUGCAUGAUGUCUCUAUUAAUGACUUGCUGUAAUUCAUACAAAAGCCGUUAGGUAUUCAUCACAUUCGCACGAAACUGUAUUCAUUACCGCUUUCAAAACUUCAUUCUCUGUUCAAUUUAUGUUUGGAAUCCACUGUUACAAACCCCCAUUCAAACCAAUACAAACUUCAAGCUAUAAUUUCGGAUAUUGCAAGUCACAGACUUUUCAAGCCAGUUCGCAUUGGAAAAGAUGAAAAAGAGAAAAGAUCUUUUCUAAAUCUUUCCUUUGCCAACAAAGGUCUCGAUGGCGUCAACCUAGGCAAUAUCCUUCAUCAUAAAUUAGUUCAAUCGAAAAUACCUCCUUAUUUCAAAGACCAGUCUGUACUAAUAAUUUCUUAUACCUAUACCAAACCUAUUGCAACUAAAAUUUUCAAUUACAAAC
rnacentral:lncRNA from 1 species